AUGGCAUGCAUUUCUUUAGUCAUUGAUCCAAGGAGCAUUAUGCAUGCAUGCCGCGAUAGUGAAAGGUGUUGUUAUACAUAUGUAGUUUGCAGUGAAGAAGAUUAUCACAACGGGGAAGGUGAUGAUGACGAUGAUGGUGGUUAUGACUAUGCUCCUGCUGCAUAA